UCCAGAAAUCCAUUCUGCAUUCCAAAUCUCCAAAUCUCCAAAUCCAUUCUGCAUUCUACAAUUUCGUAAUAUACCCAUUCAACAUUCUACAAUUUCGAAAUAUACCCAAAUCUCCAGAAAUCCAUUCUGCAUUCCAACUUCAAGCUUCAAAAAAUACAAAAUCUACAUUUCCAGAAUGCAGAUUCUACAUUUCCAGAAUGCAGAUUCAACUUCCAGAAAUCUACAAUCUACAAUCUACAACUUCAAAAAUACAAAAUCUACAAUUCUACAUUCCAACUUCAAGCUUUAAUAAACAUUUUCAGAAAUCUGCAAAUUCAAGCUUCAACCCAUUUCACCAAUCCAUUCUAUUUGAACACAAACAGAUCUCUUGCAAUUUCCCAGGAGAUAGAGAGUAAGAUAGAGUGAGAGACAGAUCUGCGAGGGACAUGGAGGCGGAGUGAGCGAGGAAGAAAGAAGGAGCAGAGGCGGCGGCAGCGGCCGCCGCGAACAAGAGAUAAAGGGAGAUCGAGAAGGAGAGCAGGGAGAAAGAGAUCUCGAUAGAGAGAAAGAAUGGGGUUACCUGAGACAAAGGGCGGCGGUGCGACGGCAACGAUGGUGGCGGGACUCACCAAAGGGGCGAAAAUUCGAAGAGAAGCAGGGAACCCUAGAAAUUGGGGUAAGAGAAAAGCAAGGUAGGAGGGAAAAGAAGAGGCGGCGUGGGUGGAGGCGGCAGGGGGUGGCGCGAUGGUGGAGGUGGGAGGGCGGUGGAGGUGGC
rnacentral:lncRNA from 1 species